ACACUGUAAAUUUAUGUAAACAUGGUUUUAUUUUACAGGUUUUUACAAGAGCUCAUUAAAUGUUAUCCUAUACUUGGGUUAUAGUCUACUUUUUCACAUGGUUUACAAGAGCAAUAAACAGCAUCCCAUGCUUGGGUUUUAGUAAACUUUUUCAUGUGAACAACAGCGUAGACAUGGAAAGAGAAUGCAUCCUCAAAGCACUGUGUGUAAACUUAAAGGAGGACCAUCUACAGCUGUUCAAGG